GACGAACGCUGGCGGCGUGCCUAAUACAUGCAAGUAGAACGCUGAAGGAGGAGCUUGCUCUUCUGGAUGAGUUGCGAACGGGUGAGUAACGCGUAGGUAACCUGCCUGGUAGCGGGGGAUAACUAUUGGAAACGAUAGCUAAUACCGCAUAAGAGUAGAUGUUGCAUGACAUUUACUUAAAAGGUGCAAUUGCAUCACUACCAGAUGGACCUGCGUUGUAUUAGCUAGUUGGUGGGGUAACGGCUUACCAAGGCGACGAUACAUAGCCGACCUGAGAGUGUGAUCGGCCACACUGGGACUGAGACACGGCCCAGACUCCUACGGGAGGCAGCAGUAGGGAAUCUUCGGCAAUGGACGGAAGUCUGACCGAGCAACGCCGCGUGAGUGAAGAAGGUUUUCGGAUCGUAAAGCUCUGUUGUAAGAGAAGAACGAGUGUGAGAGUGGAAAGUUCACACUGUGACGGUAUCUUACCAGAAAGGGACGGCUAACUACGUG
rnacentral:rRNA from 1 species